GGGGCUGCAUUGGUUUCGACGUGGGUUCGGACGCGGUGUGGUGCAUGUCGAGCUGAGUGUGCUCGUAAAACUGAUUCAAACAAACUAACUGCAAACGACGAACGUUUCGCACUCGCUGCUUAAUUGCCAGUGAGCUU
rnacentral:tmRNA from 2 species